rnacentral:rRNA from 2 species
UACGAAGGGGGCUAGCGUUGCUCGGAAUCACUGGGCGUAAAGGGCGCGUAGGCGGCCAUUCAAGUCAGAGGUGAAAGCCCAAGGCUCAACCUUGGAACUGCCUUUGAUACUGUUUGGCUUGAGACCGGUAGAGGUAAGUGGAACUGCGAGUGUAGAGGUGAAAUUCGUAGAUAUUCGCAAGAACACCAGUGGCGAAGGCGGCUUACUGGACCGGUUCUGACGCUGAGGCGCGAAAGCGUGGGGAGCAAACAGG